rnacentral:rRNA from 1 species
GUUACUGCUAUCGGAGUUCGAUUAAGCCAUGCGAGUCUAAAGGUUUCUUCGGAAACCUUGGCGGACCGCUCAGUAACACGUGGAUAACCUACCCUUGGGACUGGAAUAACCCCGGGAAACUGGGGAUAAUACCGGACAGAUCAGGGAUGCUGGAAUGCACCUUGAUCCAAAGCUCCGGCGCCCAAGGAUGGGUCUGCGGCCUAUCAGGUAGUAGUGGGUGUAACGUACCUACUAGCCAACGACGGGUACGGGUUGUGAAAGCAAGAGCCCGGAGAUGGAUUCUGAGACACGAAUCCAGGCCCUACGGGGUGCAGCAGGCGCGAAACCUUUACAAUGUGCGAAAGCAUGAUAAGGGAACUCCGAGUGCCAGUAUCUAAUACUGGCUGUCCUUGUGCCUAAAACGCACAAGAUAGCAAGGGCCGGGUAAGACCGGUGCCAGCCGCCGCGGUAACACCGGCGGCCCGAGUGGUAGCCGCUAAUAUUGGGUCUAAAGGGUCCGUAGCCGGUUCGAUAAGUCCUCUGGGAAAUCUGGUUGCUUAACAAUCAGACUGCCAAGGGAUACUGUCGAACUUGAGACCGGGAGAGGUAAGAGGUACUUCAGGGGUAGGAGUGAAAUCUUGUAAUCCCUGGGGGACCAUCUGUGGCGAAGGCGUCUUACCAGAACGGGUCUGACGGUGAGGGACGAAAGCUGGGGGCGCAAACCGGAUUAGAUACCCGGGUAGUCCCAGCCGUAAACGAUGCUCGCUAUGUGUCAGGUACGGUGUGACCGUAUCUGGUGCCGUAGGGAAGCCGAGAAGCGAGCCACCUGGGAAGUACGGCCGCAAGGCUGAAACUUAAUGGAAUUGGCGGGGGAGCACUACAACGGGUGGAGCCUGCGGUUUAAUUGGAUUCAACGCCGGA